UACAGAGGGGGCAAGCGUUGUUCGGAAUUAUUGGGCGUAAAGGGUGCGUAGGCGGUGCGGUAAGUCUUCUGUGAAAUCUACGGGCUUAACUCGUAGUCUGCAGGAGAAACUGCCGUGCUUGAGUAUGGGAGAGGUGAGUGGAAUUCCUGGUGUAGCGGUGAAAUGCGUAGAUAUCAGGAGGAACACCUGUGGCGAAAGCAGCUCACUGGGCCUUACCUGACGCUGAGGAGCGAAAGCGUGGGGAGCGAACAGG
rnacentral:rRNA from 1 species